rnacentral:rRNA from 1 species
AGCAGCCGCGGUAAUUCCAGCUCCAAUAGCGUAUAUUAAAGUUGUUGCAGUUAAAAAGCUCGUAGUUGAAUUUCGGGGUUCUACCGUUGGUCAGGCUUUGUCUGUACUGGCGUGUAGAAUUUCUACCUUCUGGGGAACCAUCAUGUUAUUAAUUUAACGUGGUGGGAAACCAGGACCUUUACCUUGAAAAAAUUAGAGUGUUCAAAGCAGGCUUAUGUCUGAAUACAUUAGCAUGGAAUAAUAAAAUAGGACGGUGGUCCUGUUUUGUUGGUUUCUGAAUCACCGUAAUGAUUAAUAGGGAUAGUUGGGGGCAUUAGUAUUCAAUUGUCAGAGGUGAAAUUCUUGAAUUUAU